ACAUCAAUAUGUUUUGCAGACUUAUAAUUGAUUAUUACAUUUUGGCAUCACUGCUGGGACAAGAAUCCAAAACAUCUAAAACAUAGAAACAGGAAGAUUCUUGAGUUCCAAGGUCUAAAGGAGAUGGGAGCAGGGGCUGGGGACUUGGUAUGAGGCACAGAAGUGCACAUCUAUGAGAACUCCUGUGAUUAUGACUUUCAACACCCAGGCCUGGGCCUCUGGGACCAUGGUGGAGAGCAGGCUGUCCCACAAAGCAGGUUCCUAUGCACUUCAUGAGGGACCCUUGAGGAAUCUUAAACUGCCAGGCCAGAGGCAGCAAUGUUUGCUGCUGAUUUGACGUGGGUGUGAGCAGAGGAUAGAAAAGGUGGUUUCAAGGCUUUUCACCUAAACAACUGGAAAGUCACCAGCGAAUCUGAACCAAAGACAUGUUACCACCAUCGAAAAAGAUCCAUUUGCUUCAAAUUACCCUUUGAUUUUAAAAUGUCUUCACUGAGCAACAGAUGUCCUGGGUGCCAGUGGCUGGUUCCUACCUAUCUUUAACACUCAUCCCUGGCUGUGUUCUUCUGAAGUUUGGAGUCAAGAUGGCACUGCAGGAGCUUUAUAUGCCUAAGUGUGGCCAUGGAAAAGACAACUAGAGUUCCUCAGAUCUUCCAGAUAUUCCCCUACAUUAUCAAGACUCUCUUGCAGAAUGAGCAGAAUUCCAGAUGUUCCCCUACAUCACCAAGACUCUCUUGCAGAAUGAGCAGAAUCUGCACUGUGUCACUUCUGGAUGGAGAAAACAGGUGGAAAGAUCUAUCCUGGAACCUCCUCUUAGCUGCUGCUA
rnacentral:lncRNA from 1 species